UGCUCCCCCGUCCAGGACAUGUCCUACUAUACGAAGACCAGUGGUACGAUCGACGUGAUUGGAGGAGGGACCGCUACCAUCAGCAGAGUGGAGGGACGACGAAGACACAACCUGGAGGAAACAACAUCCAGGUGAUUUCGGAACACUCGUCGUCGGACGCUGAGCAAAACCCCAACAAGAUGCCCCCCUUCUUCCCCCGGCCCCCUCCCCCAAA